GCUGGCGUAGCUCAGUGGCAGAGCACCACCAUGGUAAGGUGGGGGUCGUGGGUUCAAUCCCCACCGCUAGCUCCA
rnacentral:tRNA from 1 species